GCGAAGCAGCGAUGUGAAGCAAAUCGCACCAAAGCCGGUCCCAGUUCGGAUAAGAGGCUGAAACUCGCCUCUUUGAAGUCGGAAUCGCUAGUAAUCGCAGAUCAGCAUGUUGCGGUGAAUACGUUUCCUGGUCUUGUACACACCGCCCGUCAAACCAUGAGAGUCGCCAACACCCGAAGUCCGCUUUGCGGCCUAAGGUGGGGGAGAUGAUUGGGGUUAAGUCGUAACAAGGUACC
rnacentral:rRNA from 1 species